rnacentral:rRNA from 1 species
UACGAAGGGGGCUAGCGUUGUUCGGAAUUACUGGGCGUAAGGCGCACGUAGGCGGAUACUUAAGUCAGGGGUGAAAUCCCGGGGCUCAACCCCGGAACUGCCUUUGAUACUGGGUAUCUCGAGUCCGGAAGAGGUGAGUGGAAUUCCGAGUGUAGAGGUGAAAUUCGUAGAUAUUCGGAGGAACACCAGUGGCGAAGGCGGCUCACUGGUCCGGUACUGACGCUGAGGUGCGAAAGCGUGGGGAGCAAACAGG